GACGAACGCUGGCGGCGUGCCUAAUACAUGCAAGUAGAACGCUGAAGAGAGGAGCUUGCUCUUCUUGGAUGAGUUGCGAACGGGUGAGUAACGCGUAGGUAACCUGCCUUGUAGCGGGGGAUAACUAUUGGAAACGAUAGCUAAUACCGCAUAACAAUGGAUGACACAUGUCAUUUAUUUGAAAGGGGCAAUUGCUCCACUACAAGAUGGACCUGCGUUGUAUUAGCUAGUAGGUGAGGUAAUGGCUCACCUAGGCGACGUUACAUAGCCGACCUGAGAGGGUGAUCGGCCACACUGGGACUGAGACACGGCCCAGACUCCUACGGGAGGCAGCAGUAGGGAAUCUUCGGCAAUGGGGGCAACCCUGACCGAGCAACGCCGCGUGAGUGAAGAAGGUUUUCGGAUCGUAAAGCUCCGUUGUAAGUCAAGAACGGGUGUGAGAGUGGAAAGUUCACACUGUGACGGUAGCUUACCAGAAAGGGACGGCUAACUACGUG
rnacentral:rRNA from 1 species